AGUUGAUUGUCAACAGCCUGCCGAAAAACCAAUUUCUAGUCAAAACCUGACUACAUUGAUUCACUACUGGUCCGGCUGGACCUUUCCUUCUGGGGAACCUCAUGGCCUUCACUGGCUGUGGGGAGAACCAGGGCUUUUACUAUGAAAAAACUAGAGUGUUCAAAGGAGCCCUUUGCUCGAAUACAUUAGCAUGGAAUAAUAGAAUAGGACGUGCGGUUCUAUUUUCUUGGCUUCUAGGACCGCCAUAAUGAUUAAUAGGGAUAGUCGGAGGCGUCAGUAUUCAGCUGUCAGAGGUGAAAUUCUUGGAUUUGCUAAAGACUAACUACUGCGAAAGCAUCCGCCAAGGAUGUUUUCAUUAAUCAG
rnacentral:ncRNA from 1 species